GAAAUGCGAUAAGUAAUGUGAAUUGCAGAAUUCAGUGAAUCAUCGAAUCUUUGAACGCACCUUGCGCUCCUUGGUAUUCCUUGGAGCAUGCCUGUUUGAGUAUCAUGAAAUCUUCAAAGUAAAUCUUUUGUUAACUCAAUUGGUUUCUACUUUGGUAUUGGAGGUCUUUGCAGCUUCACACCUGCUCCUCUUUGUUCAUUAGCUGGAUCUCAGUGUUAUGCUUGGUUCCACUCGGCGUGAUAAGUUAUCUAUCGCUGAGGACACUGUAAAAGGUGGCCAAGGUAAAUGCAGAUGAACCGCUUCUAAUAGUCCAUUGACUUGGACAAUACUUUUAUGAUCUGAUCUCAAAUCAGGUAGGACUACCCGCUGAAC
rnacentral:misc_RNA from 1 species